AUUGAACGCUGGCGGCAGGCCUAACACAUGCAAGUCGAACGGUAGCACAGAGAGCUUGCUCUCGGGUGACGAGUGGCGGACGGGUGAGUAAUGUCUGGGAAACUGCCCGAUGGAGGGGGAUAACUACUGGAAACGGUAGCUAAUACCGCAUAAUGUCUGCGGACCAAAGCGGGGGACCUCCGGGCCUCGCGCCAUCAGAUGUGCCCAGAUGGGAUUAGCUAGUAGGUGGGGUAAUGGCUCACCUAGGCGACGAUCCCUAGCUGGUCUGAGAGGAUGACCA
rnacentral:rRNA from 1 species